UACAGAGGGGGCAAGCGUUAUUCGGAAUCAUUGGGCGUAAAGAGCGUGUAGGCGGCCUGGUAAGUCCGCUGUGAAAGUCCAGGGCUCAACCCUGGAAUGCCGGUGGAAACUGUCAGGCUCGAGUCCGGAAGAGGCGAGUGGAAUUCCUGGUGUAGCGGUGAAAUGCGCAGAUAUCAGGAGGAACACCAAUGGCGAAGGCAGCUCUCUGGGACGGUACUGACGCUGAGACGCGAAAGCGUGGGGAGCGAACAGG
rnacentral:rRNA from 1 species